GGAUAGCUCAGCUGGUAGAACAUGAGACUCUUAAUCUCAGGGUCAUGGAUUCGAGUCCCACAUUGGGUAAAAGAUACA